AGAAAGAAGGGAUUGACCAUGAAAGAAAGAGAUGAGUUUGAUCUGAUGAAGUCUGAAACCCAGGGACAAUUGGAGGAAAUAGAACAAAACAAACAAGACAUUCGUGUGGAGAAGGAAAAGCUGGAUCAGAUCAAAGCUGAGUUAGAAAGACGGUCUGAAGACAUCAAUCAGCUCAUGGAUGAGACAAGACGGGAGAGGGGGAAGGUUGAAGAACUGGCUAUCCAAACUCAAAAACAAAGAGAAGACAUGGUGGGUUUUAUGGAAAAGAACAAACAAAAGCAGAACGAACUGGAACUCAUGACUGACAAGAUUGAAAGAGAGAAACAAGACAUCGAAGACAGUCGGGAUGUGCUAACAAAGGAGAGAGAGGAGCUGGAACAAAUGAGGAGUGAGAUACAGCAACAGAGAGAGGAGACAGAAUCUCACAUGGAAGACCAAAGGAAAGAGAAAGAACAUUUGGAACAAAUGAGGAGUGAGAUACAGCAACAGAAAGAGGAGACAGAAUCUCACAUGGAAGACCAAAGGAAAGAGAAAGAACAUUUGGAACAAAUGACGACAGACAUGAAAAAACAGUUGCUAGAGGUGGACAAUGACAAGGAAAUGAUACAAAGUUCAAUGGGUGAACUGAGAGUGAAAGAGGCAGAAAUGGUGAGAGAAAAAGACAACAUGGAUAACAAGAUGGCUAGGCUCAAAGAGGAAGAGGAUGGAAUGCGGGAAGAAAUAGGAAGGAAGAUGGACAUCUUAAAGCAGGAAAAUUGUGAAAUCAAAAGACUUAGAGAUGAAAUUGACAGUGAAAAGGACCAGCUGAAUGCAAAAUUGCUUGAGUUGGAGAAAAUGCAUGAAGAACUAGAAAGAGAGAAGAAGGAAGUGAACAACAGGAAGGAUGAAACACUGAAAGAGAAAGAUCAGUUGGAAGAGAGGCGAGGUAAGAUGAGCAAGGAGAAAGAGGAAUUGGAUAUCAGUCUUGAACUGAUGAAAAGACAAAGGGAAGACUUGACAAGCUUGAAGGCUGAAGCAGAAGUACAGACCGAACCUAUGGAAACAGACUGGAAGGAAAAGCUCACGAGGGAAAGACAACAAUUUGAAGAUGUAAAAGAGGAGAUACAGAAGGAAAAAGAAGUCUUUGAGAGAAAGAAGGGAUUGACCAUGAAAGAAAGAGAUGAGUUUGAUCUGAUGAAGUCUGAAACACAGGGACAAUUGGAGGAAAUAGAACAAAACAAACAAGACAUUCGUGUGGAGAAGGAAAAGCUGGAUCAGAUCAAAGCUGAGUUAGAAAGACGGUCUGAAGACAUCAAUCAGCUCAUGGAUGAGACAAGACGGGAGAGGGGGAAGGUUGAAGAACUGGCUAUCCAAACUCAAAAACAAAGAGAAGAAAUGGUGGGUUUUAUGGAAAAGAACAAACAAAAGCAGAACAAACUGGAACUCAUGAAUGACAAGAUUGAAAGAGAGAAACAAGACAUCGAAGACAGUCGGGAUGUGCUAACAAAGGAGAGAGAGGAGCUGGAACAAAUGAGGAGUGAGAUACAGCAACAGAGAGAGGAGCUGGAACAAAUGAGGAGUGAGAUACAGCAACAGAAAGAGGAGACAGAAUCUCACAUGGAAGACCAAAGGAAAGAGAAAGAACAUUUGGAACAAAUGACGACAGACAUGAAAAAACAGUUGCUAGAGGUGGACAAUGACAAGGAAAUGAUACAAAGUUCAAUGGGUGAACUGAGAGUGAAAGAGGCAGAAAUGGUGAGAGAAAAAGACAACAUGGAUAACAAGAUGGCUAGGCUCAAAGAGGAAGAGGAUGGAAUGCGGGAAGAAAUAGGAAGGAAGAUGGACAUCUUAAAGCAGGAAAAUUGUGAAAUCAAAAGACUUAGAGAUGAAAUUGACAGUGAAAAGGACCAGCUGAAUGCAAAAUUGCUUGAGUUGGAGAAAAUGCAUGAAGAACUAGAAAGAGAGAAGAAGGAAGUGAACAAAAGGAAGGAUGAAACACUGAAAGAGAAAGAUCAGUUGGAAGAGAGGCGAGGUAAGAUGAGCAAGGAGAAAGAGGAAUUGGAUAUCAGUCUUGAACUGAUGAAAAGACAAAGGGAAGACUUGACAAGCUUGAAGGCUGAAGCAGAAGUACAGACCGAACCUAUGGAAACAGACUGGAAGGAAAAGCUCACGAUGGAAAGACAACAACUUGAAGAUGUAAAGGAGGAGAUACAGAAGGAAAAAGAAGCCUUUGAGAGAAAGAAGGGUUUGACCAUGAAAGAAAGAGAUGAGUUUGAUCUGAUGAAGUCUGAAACACAGGGACAAUUGGAGGAAAUAGAACAAAACAAACAAGACAUUCGUGUGGAGAAGGAAAAGCUGGAUCAGAUCAAAGCUGAGUUAGAAAGACGGUCUGAAGACAUCAAUCAGCUCAUGGAUGAGACAAGACGGGAGAGGGGGAAGGUUGAAGAACUGGCUAUCCAAACUCAAAAACAAAGAGAAGACAUGGUGGGUUUUAUGGAAAAGAACAAACAAAAGCAGAACGAACUGGAACUCAUGACUGACAAGAUUGAAAGAGAGAAACAAGACAUCGAAGACAGUCGGGAUGUGCUAACAAAGGAGAGAGAGGAGCUGGAACAAAUGAGGAGUGAGAUACAGCAACAAAAAGAGGAGACAGAAUCUCACAUGGAAGACCAAAGGAAAGAGAAAGAACAUUUGGAACAAAUGACGACAGA
rnacentral:lncRNA from 13 species